GACGAACGCUGGCGGCGUGCUUAACACAUGCAAGUCGAACGGAAAGGCCCUGCUUUUGUGGGGUGCUCGAGUGGCGAACGGGUGAGUAACACGUGAGUAACCUGCCCUUGACUUUGGGAUAACUUCAGGAAACUGGGGCUAAUACCGGAUAGGAGCUCCUGCUGCAUGGUGGGGGUUGGAAAGUUUCGGCGGUUGGGGAUGGACUCGCGGCUUAUCAGCUUGUUGGUGGGGUAGUGGCUUACCAAGGCUUUGACGGGUAGCCGGCCUGAGAGGGUGACCGGCCAUAUUGGGACUGAGAUACGGCCCAGACUCCUACGGGAGGCAGCAGUGGAGAAUAUUGCACAAUGGGCGGAAGCCUGAUGCAGCAACGCCGCGUGCGGGAUGACGGCCUUCGGGUUGUAAACCGCUUUCGCCUGUGACGAAGCGUGAGUGACGGUAAUGGGUAAAGAAGCACCGGCUAACUACGUG
rnacentral:rRNA from 1 species